UACAGAGGGUGCGAGCGUUGUUCGGAAUUAUUGGGCGUAAAGGGCGCGUAGGCGGCGCGGAUAGUCGGCGGUGAAAGCCCGGAGCUCAACUCCGGGUCGGCCGUCGAUACUUCCGGGCUUGAGCACUGUAGAGGCAGAUGGAAUUCCGGGUGUAGCGGUGGAAUGCGUAGAGAUCCGGAAGAACACCGGUGGCGAAGGCGGUCUGCUGGGCAGUUGCUGACGCUGAUGCGCGACAGCGUGGGGAGCAAACAGG
rnacentral:rRNA from 1 species